rnacentral:rRNA from 1 species
AAUGAACGUUGGCGGCGUGGAUUAGGCAUGCAAGUCGAGCGGGUGUAGCAAUACACCAGCGGCGAAAGGGAGAGUAAUACGUGGAUACCUACCCUCGGGCCUGGGAUAGCUUCGGGAAACUGAAGGUAAUACCAGAUAACGUCCCCGGACCAAAGGUGUGAUUCCGUCCGAGGAGGGGUCCGCGGCCUAUUAGCUAGUUGGUGAGGUAACGGCCCACCAAGGCGAAGAUGGGUACGAGGCGUGAGAGCGUGUCCUCGCUCACUGGGACUGAGACACUGCCCAGACACCUACGGGUGGCCGCAGUCGAGAAUCUUCGGCAAUGGGCGCAAGCCUGACCGAGCGACGCCGCGUGCGGGAUGAAGGCCUUCGGGUUGUAAACCGCUGUCAGUAGGGAGGAAUGGUUUGGGGGUUCUCCCCCAGAUUUGACCUAUCCGCAGAGGAAGGACGGGCUAAGUUCGUGCCAGCCGCCGCCGUAA